rnacentral:rRNA from 1 species
UACAGAGACUGCAAGCGUUAUUCGGAUUCACUGGGCGUAAAGCGCACGUAGGCGGCUUUCUAAGUCAGGGGUGAAAUCCUGGAGCUCAACUCCAGAACUGCCUUUGAUACUGGAGAGCUUGAGUCCGGGAGAGGUGAGUGGAACUCCGAGUGUAGAGGUGAAAUUCGUAGAUAUUCGGAAGAACACCAGUGGCGAAGGCGGCUCACUGGCCCGGUACUGACGCUGAGGCGCGAAAGCGUGGGGAGCAAACAGG